GAUGAACGCUGGCGGCGUGCUUAACACAUGCAAGUCGAACGGAAAGGCCCAAGCUUGCUUGGGUACUCGAGUGGCGAACGGGUGAGUAACACGUGGGUGAUCUGCCCUGCACUUCGGGAUAAGCCUGGGAAACUGGGUCUAAUACCGGAUAGGACGAUGGUUUGGAUGCCAUUGUGGAAAGUUUUUUCGGUGUGGGAUGAGCUCGCGGCCUAUCAGCUUGUUGGUGGGGUAAUGGCCUACCAAGGCGUCGACGGGUAGCCGGCCUGAGAUGGUGUACGGCCACAUUGGGAAGGAGAUACAGCCCAGACUCCUACGGGAGGCAGCAGGGGGGAAUAUUGCACAAUGGGCGCAAGCCUGAUGCAGCGACGCGGCGUGGGGGAUGACGGCCUUCGGGUUGUAAACUCCUGUCGCUAGGGACGAAGCGUUUUUGUGACGGUACCUGGAGAAGAAGCACCGGCUAACUACGUG
rnacentral:rRNA from 1 species